UACGGAGGGUGCAAGCGUUAUCCGGAUUCACUGGGUUUAAAGGGUGCGUAGGAGGGCAGGGAAGUCAGUGGUGAAAUCUCCGGGCCUAACUCGGAAACUGCCGUUGAUACUCUCUGUCUUGAAUCCCGUGGAGGUGAGCGGAAUAUGUCAUGUAGCGGUGAAAUGCUUAGAUAUGACAUAGAACACCAAUUGCGAAGGCAGCUCGCUACACGAAGAUUGACUCUGAGGCACGAAAGCGUGGGGAUCAAACAGG
rnacentral:rRNA from 1 species